UACAGAGGUCUCAAGCGUUGUUCGGAUUCAUUGGGCGUAAAGAGCGUGUAGGCGGCCCGGUAAGUCCGCUGUGAAAGUCGGGGGCUCAACCCUCGAAUGCCGGUGGAUACUGUCGGGCUAGAGUGCGGAAGAGGCGAGUGGAAUUCCUGGUGUAGCGGUGAAAUGCGCAGAUAUCAGGAGGAACACCGAUUGCGAAGGCAGCUCGCUGGGACGUAACUGACGCUGAGACGCGAAAGCGUGGGGAGCGAAUGGG
rnacentral:rRNA from 1 species